GAUGAACGCUGGCGGCAUACUUAACACAUGCAAGUCGGACGGGAAGGGGUUUUUCGAGUGGCGGACGGGUGAGGGACGCGUAAGAACCUGCUCUUGGGAGGGGAACAACAACUGGAAACGGUUGCUAAUAGCCCGUAGGCUGAGAAGCAAAAGGGGGGAUCCGCGCGUGGGGGGGCUCGCGUCUGAUGAGCGAGUUGGUGAGGUAGUAGCUUACCGAGGCGAGGAUCAGUAGCUGGUCCGAGAGGAUGAUCAGCCAGACGGGUGCUGUGCCGCGGCCCCUACUCCGGCGGGAGGCAGCAGGGGAGAAUGUACAGCAGUGGGAGACCGCCUGAAGGAACAAUGCCGCGGGGAUGUAGAACGCCGGCUUGUCGUGAACUUCCUUUCGCGGAGAAGAGACAAUGACGGUAUCUGAAGAAUAAGCACCGGCUAACUCUGUG
rnacentral:rRNA from 1 species